UGAAAGCAAGGGCAACCUUUCCGUCUACUUCGCAUGCUCGGUAGAACGCUUGCUUGAUCACCGCCGCGAGUCCCCCCCUUCCCGGUCGUAUCUCGCUCGCCCGUUGCCUUCCACGGCCUGUCAAGCUAAUGUUCUCAGCAAUGUUGGGGUUAAUGAUUUCAGGCAUCUAUGGUGUUGUCAGCAAUGUUGACGUGCAUGUUCGACUUGCAGGCAACUUCGCAUCACUGAAAGGGAGUUCCUGUGAUAUAUUCUUUUUACUGGAUUUUAAUCUAGUUUUCCUGUGAAGCUGGUGAUUUUCUUUAUAACUAUAUGUACAUCCAAUGCUUUUAUCAAGAAGUGUUGUUGUUGCCUUCUCUCAA